rnacentral:rRNA from 1 species
GACGAACGCUGGCGGCGUGCCUAAUACAUGCAAGUCGGACGCAGUUGCGAACAGGGGAGUGACGCGUAGGUAACUGCAUAUUAGAGGGGGAGAACUAUUGGAAACGAUAGCUAAAACCGCAAACUAGGAGAUGGACCUGCGUUGUAUUAGCUAGUAGGUAGGGUAAUGGCCUAUCUAGGAGCAGAUACAUAGACGACCUUGGAGGGAGGUCGGCCAACCUGGGAAUGGGACAAGGGCCAGACUCCUACGGGAGGGAGCAGUAGGGAAACUUCGGCAAUGGGGGGAACCCUUGCCAAGCAAAUGCGCGUUAGUGAAGAAGGUUUUCGGGUCGUAAAGCUCUGUUGUUAAGGAAGCGGUACUUAACCAGAAAGGGACGGCUAACUACGUGCCAGCAGCCGCGGUAAUUC